rnacentral:rRNA from 1 species
UACCAGCACCCCGAGUGGUCGGGACGAUUAUUGGGCCUAAAGCAUCCGUAGCCGGUUCUACAAGUCUUCCGUUAAAUCCACCUGCUUAACAGAUGGGCUGCGGAGGAUACUAUAGAGCUAGGAGGCGGGAGAGGCAAGCGGUACUCAGUGGGUAGGGGUAAAAUCCGUUGAUCCAUUGAAGACCACCAGUGGCGAAGGCGGCUUGCCAGAACGCACUCGACGGUGAGGGAUGAAAGCUGGGGGAGCAAACCGG